rnacentral:rRNA from 1 species
AUAGCCUAACGGCUGAACCAGCAACUUGGAGGAAUGUAUAGCAAUUGCUAUUUGCAUUAAAAGUUUUUAGUGUAAAAUCGACUUUGUCGAAUAAAAUUCUGGGUAGAAUUAUGAUAAUGACAUUACCUACUCAUAAGUCUUGACCAAAUUACGUGCCAGCAGUCGCGGUAAUACGUAGAAGACAAGUGUUAUUCAUCUUUAAUAGGUUUAAAGGGUACUUAGACGGUAAAUAAAGCCUCCAAAAGGUACUAGUUUGCUAGAGUUUUAUAUGAAGGAGUUUUAAAGUACUACUGGUGUAGAGAUGAAAUUCAGUUAUACCUUACAUGGCACAGGUUAAGGCGAAAGCAUCUUCUUAUGUAAAAACUGACGUUGAAGGACGAAGGCUUUGUGUCUCGAACAGGAUUAGAUACCCUAGUAGUCUAAGCAGAAAAUGAUGAAUGUCAUAGAUUAGAUUUAAUUUGAUCUGUAAAUGAAAGUGUAAGCAUUCCACCUCAAGAGUAAUUUGGCAACAUUGGAACUGAAAUCAUUAGACCGUUUCUGAAACCAGUAGUGAAGUAUGUUGUUUAAUUUGAUAAUCCGCAAAAAACCUUACCACAAUUUGAAUAGAUAUAUUUUAUCAUACAAGCGUUGCACGGCUGUCUUCAGUUAAUGUCGUGAGACUUUGGUUAGUUCCAUUAAAUUAACGUAAACCCUUACUUUAUUUUUAUAUAAAGUAGUUCACCGCUAUAUUGGAUGUGAUAAUAGGGAUCAAGACAAGUCAUCAUGACCUAAAUAUUGU